rnacentral:lncRNA from 1 species
ACGGACCAGACCUUCUAAGCACGGAUGCCCAGCGUGGUACCCGAACACCCCUGGACACGCGGAGCAACAAUUGCCGAGUUGUCCCAUUUCCGGUUUUCUGCAGUUCCAACCACAAUUUUGUCCUAUUUCGUUAAGUUUGAGCCAGAUGCUAUGACGGCAUAUUAAGAGCUAAGAUGCCCCUCCCACCACACCUGAAACUGUAUUUUCAACAAUUUGGUGGAAAUUUGAACUACUAACCAUGUUUCACAUUUAUUCACAUGUAUCACGACAAUCCAGUUGGCACCCUUUUGGCUGUCCCCAAUGUAUUUGGAGGCCGGUGUGGAAGAGCCUCUUUUAGGGGGCUUUCUAGUCUGCAUGUGAGCACAGCUUGUGGCAUGAGGAAACAGGUACAGCGCAGGUGCAGCUCCCCUGGGAGGAGACCUGGCUACUCUCGGGAUCCUGGACCAUGACUGCUGCUGCUCCUUUCCUGGAGACACAGAGGUGCCCCUUUCCCUGGCAGUUCUUGCCACUGGCUUUGGAGCAACUGGAUCUGAAAGCUGAAGGCUGAGGCUGAUGGACAGGUAGGACUGUUUUUUGAGCUAUGGAUUCCUCUCCGGGAAUGAUGGAGUCAGAAAUGUCCUUACCUAAGGGUCAGCUUCUUAGCAGUAGGAAAAUGGCCUUUCUCACUAUUUGGGAAAGAAUAUGGAUCUUUCUGUUAUAACCCCUAGAUUAAAGAAUUAGAUGAUAUACAAGGUUAAAUUAUAGGUGUUAAGGAAGUGUUUCAGAAAAGGCUCCCUUUGGCUACUUGAAAAGUAAAC